CCGUCUUGAAACACGGACCAAGGAGUCUAGCAUGCGCGCGAGUCAUUGGGAACUCGUAAACCCAGAGGCGAAACGAAAGUGAACAGCGCGAAAGCGAAUUUAGCAGGGAAGAUGACCGUCGGCUCGUCCGUCGGUUCGCACUCCCGAGGCGUUUCGAGAAAUGCCACCGUUGCGAUUAUCGAAACGCACUGAGAGCGCGCACGCUGGGACCCGAAAGAUGGUGAACUAUGCCUGGUCAGGUCGAAGUCAGGGGA
rnacentral:rRNA from 1 species